rnacentral:rRNA from 1 species
UACGGAGGAUGCGAGCGUUAUCCGGAUUUAUUGGGUUUAAAGGGUGCGUAGGCUGCUUUUUAAGUCAGCGGUGAAAUUUUGCAGCUUAACUGUAACAGUGCCGUUGAUACUGGGGAGCUAGGAUUUGGUUGCUGUGGGUGGAAUGUGUGGUGUGGCGGUGAAAUGCUUAGAUAUCACGAGGAACUCCGAUUGCGCAGGCAGCUUACUAAACUACUACUGACGCUCAGGCACGAAGGCGUGGGGAUCAAACAGGAUUAGAUACCCCU